UAAGUACCACCUUCGUCCGGAAAUAUUUGUCAUCAAAAUGAAUAAAAAGGGAUGUAUCUAGAAUUAUAUUUAAUUCUAGAUACAUCCCUUUUUAUUCAUUUUGAUGACAAGUAUUCCCGGACGGAGGAAGUAGCUA
rnacentral:pre_miRNA from 1 species